UCUUCAGGUAGGGUAAUUCUUACGGGGUCCUCUCUUUAGAGGGCAAAUGGAACAUGAUGAUUGGAGUUUAUAUGAUUCAUGAUUAAGGUCUGCAUGAUUAGGGCUCACAACACCCUAAUUGCUCUGAUCUGAU
ensembl:snoRNA U8 U8 small nucleolar RNA